rnacentral:rRNA from 1 species
UGUUGCCUACGGGAGGCAGCAGUGAGGAAUAUUGGUCAAUGGUCGGGAGACUGAACCAGCCAAGCCGCGUGAGGGAUGAAGGUACAGAGUAUCGUAAACCUCUUUUGUCAGGGAACAAAGGCGGGGACGUGUCCCCGGAUGAGUGUACCUGAAGAAAAAGCAUCGGCUAACUCCGUGCCAGCAGCCGCGGUAAUACGGAGGAUGCGAGCGUCAUUCGGAUUUAUCGGGUUUAAAGGGUGCGCAGGCGGUCUGUUAAGUCAGCGGUCAAAGCCCGGGGCUCAACCCUUG